GGCGGGUGAAAUGGGUUGGGGUCCUGGGCGUGUCGUGUGACAGAGGGGAGGGUUUUCGAUGGUAGUGGCCUGUGGAGUGAAGGAAGGGUGUCUCGGGUGAGUUACGGCUGAGAGGAGGGGGGAAAAUAAUGGGGAGAUUGGGACCGGCGGCCGACGGAGAAAGAGGAGGCGGUGCGGUAGAGCAGCAGCAGCGGCGGUGAUGGAGGCCGCGAGAGCGGCGGCGAUGGCUCGAACUCCGGCAGGGAGGUGCGGCAGCUUCGACGAUGAGGAGACUGAGCGGCACGGAGGUGGCGACGGCGAAGUGGCGGCGGCGUAGGCGGUGGCGGAGAAGCGACGGUGGAGAAGAGGGGCGGAUCGUGGCGGCGGAAAGGGAGAAGAUGAACAGGUGCUUCUCUCUCUCUUCUUCUUUUU
rnacentral:lncRNA from 1 species